rnacentral:rRNA from 1 species
UACGAAGGGGGCUAGCGUUGUUCGGAAUCACUGGGCGUAAAGCGCACGUAGGCGGAUUGUUAAGUCGGGGGUGAAAUCCUGAGGCUCAACCUCAGAACUGCCUCCGAUACUGGCAAUCUCGAGUUCGGAAGAGGUUGUGGAACAGCUAGUGUAGAGGUGAAAUUCGUAGAUAUUAGCUAGAACACCAGUGGCGAAGGCGGCCAACUGGUCCGACCACUGACGCUGAGGUGCGAAAG